rnacentral:tRNA from 1 species
UGGGGUGUAGCUCAGUGGCAGAGCGCUUGCCUACCAUGCAUGAGACCCUGGAUUUAACCCCCAGCACCACAA